rnacentral:lncRNA from 1 species
GAAAGCAAAGAUAUAUAAGAAGAGAGAGAAUUAUUAAGGGGAUCAACGAUCUUAUUUGUUUUUCGUUAUCCUAAAAAAUUCCUACAAUUUGUCCUGAAAAGCUGCAAAGAAAACAAAAUCCACAGUAAGUCAGAAUUUUCCCAAUUAAAAAUUUACUACCCCAGUACUGCUACUACAAAAAUUAACAUGGCUAUCAUCAAAACCCCAUAGUUCAUAUACUUGCCUUUAC